rnacentral:rRNA from 2 species
GGGCGUAAGCGCGCGCAGGCGGUUUCUUAAGUCUGAUGUGAAAGCCCACGGCUCAACCGUGGAGGGUCAUUGGAAACUGGGGAACUUGAGUGCAGAAGAGAAAAGCGGAAUUCCACGUGUAGCGGUGAAAUGCGUAGAGAUGUGGAGGAACACCAGUGGCGAAGGCGGCUUUUUGGUCUGUAACUGACGCUGAGGCGCGAAAGCGUGGGGAGCAAACAGGAUUAGAUACCCUGGUAGUCCACGCCGUAAACGAUGAGUGCUAAGUGUUAGAGGGUUUCCGCCCUUUAGUGCUGCAGCUAACGCAUUAAGCACUCCGCCUGGGGAGUACGGUCGCAAGACUGAAACUCAAAGGAAUUGACGGGGGCCCGCACAAGCGGUGGAGCAUGUGG